UCUGCCUGUCUAUUCAUUACGGGAUUCAAUUUAAGUUGUUGCUAUUUUCCAAGAACCAACAAACUGUUUGGGAUCAAGUGUUCUGACUUUGUCACCAUAUAUCUGCCUGAGAUUUGAGGUCAAUUCUAAACCCUAUUCCAGCCAGGAUUCUAAAUGUCCUUUUUCAAAUUGUAUGUAUCCAAUGGGACAAGUUCUCUUAUGAUGUCCUUUGUUGAGCUGAUGAGUCUGCAAUCAGCUGGAGAGAGGCUCAUAAAAUGAAAAGAAAAUAUUUCUAUACAUCUUGAGCACCUCAUAAUAUUCCCACCUGAAAAUCUCUGUGUCUUCUUUUCCUUAAUUUUAAUUCUCUUUUCACUGAAUUGAAUAAAAACAGGUCUGGAUGGAGACAAACAGGCUCCAACUCAACCCAUCCAAGACGGAGUGGCUGUGGAUGCUGGCGUCCUGGCACAGUCAGCUUACCCCAUUGCUGACUGUGGGGGGUGAAUCAUUAGCCCCCAAGGAAUUGGUGCGCAAUUUAGGCGUUCUCCUGGAUGCACGGCUGUCUUUAGAAGACCAUUUGACAGCCAUCGCCAGGGGAGCUUUUCAUCAGGUUCGCCUGAUUCGCCAAUUGCGCCCUUUUCUGGACCGGGACUCGUUAUGCACGGUCACUCAUGCCCUCGUCACUUCCCGUCUGGAUUAUUGCAAUGCUCUUUACAUGGGGCUCCCCUUGAGGAGCACCCGGAGGCUCCAACUGGUACAGAAUGCGGCCGCGUGGGGGAUUGAGGGAGCCCCUCGUAGCUCCCAGGUAAAACCUCUCCUGCGCAGGCUGCAAUGGUUGCAGGUGGUCUUCCGGGUGCGCUUCAAGGUGUUGGUUAUCACCUUUAAAGCGCUCCAUGGCAUUGGACCAGGAUAUUUACAGGACCGCCUGCUGCCGACAGUUACCUCCCAUUGUCCGGUACAUCCAGUGCGCGCUCACAGGGAGGGCCUUCUUAGGGUGCCGUCGGCUAGGCAAUGUCGGCUGGCGGCCCCCAGGGGAAGAGCGUUCUCUGUCAGGUCCCCGGCUCUAUGGAAUGAGCUGCCGGUGGGACUCCGUCUCCUCCCUGAUCUCCGGACCUUUAAACGUGAGCUCAAGACUUUCUUUUUUCACCAAGCGGGGCUGGCCUGAUUGAUUUUAGUAUGGGGGGUUUUAAUGGGUUUUAAUAGGGUUUUAGUUUUUGAUAAAAUUUUAGCUAAUAUUUUAAGUAUAUAGCGGUCGAAUCAGAUUUUUAAAUUGGUUAUAGUAUUUUAAUUUGUUUAAGAUUUCUGUCGUUUUAUUGGCUGUACACCGCCCUGA